UAUAGAGGUCUCAAGCGUUGUUCGGAUUCAUUGGGCGUAAAGGGUGCGUAGGCGGCGCGGUAAGUCGGGUGUGAAAUCUCGGAGCUUAACUCCGAAACUGCAUUCGAUACUGCCGUGCUUGAGGACUGGAGAGGAGACUGGAAUUUACGGUGUAGCGGUGAAAUGCGUAGAUAUCGUAAGGAAGACCAGUGGCGAAGGCGGGUCUCUGGACAGUUCCUGACGCUGAGGCACGAAGGUCAGGGGAGCAAACGGG
rnacentral:rRNA from 1 species